UGCAGUCGAACGCUUCUUUUUCCACCGGAGCUUGCUCCACCGGAAAAAGAGGAGUGGCGAACGGGUGAGUAACACGUGGGUAACCUGCCCAUCAGAAGGGGAUAACACUUGGAAACAGGUGCUAAUACCGUAUAACAAUCGAAACCGCAUGGUUUUGAUUUGAAAGGCGCUUUCGGGUGUCGCUGAUGGAUGGACCCGCGGUGCAUUAGCUAGUUGGUGAGGUAACGGCUCACCAAGGCCACGAUGCAUAGCCGACCUGAGAGGGUGAUCGGCCACAUUGGGACUGAGACACGGCCCAAACUCCUACGGGAGGCAGCAGUAGGGAAUCUUCGGCAAUGGACGAAAGUCUGACCGAGCAACGCCGCGUGAGUGAAGAAGGUUUUCGGAUCGUAAAACUCUGUUGUUAGAGAAGAACAAGGAUGAGAGUAACUGUUCAUCCCUUGACGGUAUCUAACCAGAAAGCCACGGCUAACUACGUGCCAGCAGCCGCGGUAAUACGUAGGUGGCAAGCGUUGUCCGGAUUUAUUGGGCGUAAAGCGAGCGCAGGCGGUUUCUUAAGUCUGAUGUGAAAGCCCCCGGCUCAACCGGGGAGGGUCAUUGGAAACUGGGAGACUUGAGUGCAGAAGAGGAGAGUGGAAUUCCAUGUGUAGCGGUGAAAUGCGUAGAUAUAUGGAGGAACACCAGUGGCGAAGGCGGCUCUCUGGUCUGUAACUGACGCUGAGGCUCGAAAGCGUGGGGAGCAAACAGGAUUAGAUACCCUGGUAGUCCACGCCGUAAACGAUGAGUGCUAAGUGUUGGAGGGUUUCCGCCCUUCAGUGCUGCAGCUAACGCAUUAAGCACUCCGCCAGGAGAGUACGACCGCAAGGUUGAAACUCAAGGAAAUUUGAACGG
rnacentral:rRNA from 1 species